rnacentral:rRNA from 1 species
GACGAACGCUGGCGGCGUGCUUAACACAUGCAAGUCGAACGGAAAGGCCCUGCUUUUGUGGGGUGCUCGAGUGGCGAACGGGUGAGUAACACGUGAGUAACUUGCCCUUGACUUUGGGAUAACUUCAGGAAACUGGGGCUAAUACCGGAUAGGAGCUCCUGCUGCAUGGUGGGGGUUGGAAAGUUUCGGCGGUUGGGGAUGGACUCGCGGCUUAUCAGCUUGUUGGUGGGGUAGUGGCUUACCAAGGCUUUGACGGGUAGCCGGCCUGAGAGGGUGACAGGCCACAUUGGGACUGAGAUACGGCACAGACUCCUAAGGGAGGCAGCAGUGGGGAAUAGUGCACAAUGGGCGGAAGCCUGAUGCAGCAACGCCGCGUGCGGGAUGACGGCCUUCGGGUUGUAAACCGCUUUCGCCUGUGACGAAGCGUGAGUGACGGUAAUGGGUAAAGAAGCACCGGCUAACUACGUG